GUUUAUAACCACAGCUUCACGUCGUCUCAGAGCCCCGCCCUCUAUCUGACUGUGGGAGACUUGGUGACAAACCUGAUCAUCAGGGUGGUUGUGGUCCACUUCCUCCUGAUCAUGGGGACCAUCUCCCUCUUCUUCUACUGUCGGGCCAGUGGGGGGCGCUUCAGACUGAAGGCACGCAACACACCAUGAGAGACACCACCACGGACACAUCCACACCAGUGUCCAUCCUGCAGAAUAGUUGUGUGUUGUUUGUGUCCCAGUCCCAGUUCUGGUCCUGGAGUCCUGCUCCAGUCUGAAUGUUCAGUGUGUUUAUGUUUCAGCAGUUCCUGGUUCUUCUUGGACUUGGACCUAUUCAGUCCUGGGUUAGGGUUGGGGUUCUUGGACUUGGACUCAGACCUGUUCAGUCCUGGGUUAUGGGAAAUGCAUACAAGUGUGUGUAAAU